rnacentral:rRNA from 1 species
UAAUACGUAGGCAGCGAGCGUUGUUCGGAAUUACUGGGCGUAAAGAGUGUGUAGGCGGUGCUCUAAGUUCGGUGUGAAAUCUCCUGGCUUAACUGGGAGGGUGCGCCGGAAACUGGAGUGCUCGAGCGUGGGAGAGGAAAGCGGAAUUCCUGGUGUAGCGGUGAAAUGCGUAGAUAUCAGGAGGAACACCUGCGGUGUAGACGGCUUUCUGGACCAUUGCUGACGCUGAGACACGAAAGCGUGGGUAGCAAACAGGAUUAGAUACCCUGGUAGUCCACGCCCUAAACGAUGCAUACUUGGUGUCGGCCAUUCAGUUGGUCGGUGCCGGAGCUAACGCGUUAAGUAUGCCGCCUGGGGAGUACGGUCGCAAGGCU